rnacentral:rRNA from 1 species
CCUACGGGGGGCAGCAGUGGGGAAUAUUGGACAAUGGGCGAAAGCCUGAUCCAGCCAUGCCGCGUGAGUGAUGAAGGCCCUCGGGUCGUAAAGCUCUGUGGAGAGGGAAGAAUCCGUUCAGCAUCAGAUCCUGAACGUUGACGGUACCUCUUUAGCAAGCACCGGCUAACUCCGUGCCAGCAGCCGCGGUAAUACGGAGGGUGCAAACGUUGCUCGGAAUCAUUGGGCGUAAAGCGCACGUAGGCGGGCCGCUAAGUCGGAUGUGAAAGCCCUCGGCUUAACCGAGGAAGUGCAUUCGAAACUGACGGCCUUGAGUAUGGAAGAGGGUCGCGGAAUUCCCGGUGUAGAGGUGAAAUUCGUAGAUAUCGGGAGGAACACCAGUGGCGAAGGCGGCGACCUGGGCCAAUACUGACGCUGAGGUGCGAAAGCGUGGGGAGCAA